UGGUGUCUUUUUUUCAUAAGU
rnacentral:piRNA from 1 species